GCCUACGGUCAUAUCAAUGCGAAUAUACGAUUUCCCGUCUGAUCAAUCAUAGUCAAACGCGUUAGAGCCACAUUCAGUAUUACGGUGGGAGACCACGUGAGAACGGGUGGUACUGAAGGU
rnacentral:rRNA from 9 species